rnacentral:rRNA from 1 species
GUCGAGCGAAUCAAUAGGAGCUUGCUCCUUGAGAUUAGCGGCGGACGGGUGAGUAACACGUGGGCAACCUGCCCUGCAGAUGGGGAUAACUCCGGGAAACCGGGGCUAAUACCGAAUAAUCAGUUCCUUCGCAUGAGGGAACUCUGAAAGACGGUUUCGGCUGGCACUGGAGGAUGGGCCCGCGGCGCAUUAACUAGUUGGGGGGGUAAUGGCCUACCAAGGGAACGAUGCGUAGCCGACCUGAAAGGGUGAUCGGCCACACUGGGACUGAAACACGGCCCAAACUCCUACGGGAGGGAGCAGUAGGGAAUCUUCCACAAUGGACGAAAGUCUGAUGGAGCAAUGCCGCGUGAGUGAAGAAGGUUUUCGGAUCGUAAAGCUCUGUUGCGAGGGAAGAACACGUACGGGAGUAACUGCCCGUACCUUGACGGUACCUCGUCAGAAAGCCCCGGCUAACUACCUGCCAGCAGCCGCGGUAAUACGUAAGUGGCAAGCGUUGUCCGGAAUUAUUGGGCGUAAAGCGCGCGCAGGCGGUCCUUUAAGUCUGAUGUGAAAGCCCACGGUCAACCGUGGAGGGUCAUUGGAAACUGGGGGACUUGAGUACAGAAGAGGAAAGCGGAAUUCCACGUGUAGCGGUGAAAUGCGUAGAGAUGUGGAGGAACACCAGUGGCGAAGGCGGCUUUCUGGUCUGUAACUGACGCUGAGGCGCGAAAGCGUGGGGAGCAAACAGGAUAGAUACCCUGGUAGUCCACGCCGUAAACGAUGAGUGCUAAGUGUUAGGGGGUUUC